ensembl:lncRNA
CCCCGCGCACCCGGCCCGGCCGGCUCCCCCGCCCUCCUCUCGGAGCGCGCGCACACACCUCCCACCGCUUUGCCCAAAUUAUUUUCGAUCCCGGGAGACUCCGGAUGCCAGACGCGCUCCGCAGCGGCGGCGGCGGCCGCGCCUGAUUCAUUGCGCCAAAGCUGCAGAUGCGACCUCCCGCCUGCGCCCUGUGCCCCGGCCCGCGCCGGGCUGCGUGCGCGCCUGGAGAGAUUCGGGGGGGCGGCAAUUUGUAGGCUCUCCCCCCUCAAGAGUGCACCGUCUCCAUGGAAACCGCGGAGGAGGUCACGGUAGCUGGGCCCCCUCGCGUCACCCCGAGCCUCGCCGGCUGCAGGCGCCGGGAUUGCGGCCUCCCAGGCGCCUCGGCCCGCGUGGACUCUACUCUGAGUUCCCCGCCCCCGCUCCACUCAGCCCGCGGCUCAGACCAUAUGACUCUGCCGGGUCCUAACCGGGAAGGGCGCACCUGGGCACCAGUGCGCUAGGCUAUGCCUCUGUCCCCAGGCUUUGGCACGAGGGAGUGCGCCAAGAUACACGUGCCCAGCUCCAAGACUAGAACACGUGCAGCGAGACGCCACCAAGGGGCUCACGGAACUAGUGAAUGCCCUGUGCGAUCGACCUAUAUAGGUGCACCACUCCAGACCUCUUGCUAAAACAAGACCACCCGUAAAGAACCUGGAGUCCCGCCUAGGUAUCUUGCUAGCUGUGUGACUUCGGGCAAGUCGCAACCUCUCUGCGUCUCACCUUGCUCAUCAGCAAAAUGGAAUUGUCGCGUGGCUUGAGAAAAACGGAGAGGUGCCUGCCACGCUGACCUCAUCUCCAGGCGGGCAUCGAGCCCUCCCACCCCCGGAGGAACGCUUUUGCCAUCUCUGAUCUCAUCCGGAGCUCUCCCUGGGAGGCAGAGAGGAGACAAGAGCCCAACAGAGAAAGGAACCUGAGGUAGAGAAGGGCUGGACUUCUUGAUCCAGAUCACACCAACCACAACAUUCUUUCAGAUGUUUAUCUAGUGCGUACUAAGUACCAGGCGCAGUUUAGACCAUGGGGACAUCAGCCUCUUAGAGCUUACAUUCUCAUUCAGGGAGACAGACCAUAA